UUGACUGGGCAGACAUUAAUUUCUCCAUUUUACAGAUAGGAAACCUGAAGUUCAGGGAAGGUAAGGGGCUUGUGUAAGGCCCCAAGCAUCUAGAAUCUGGUGACAAUGCCAGACCUUCACCCCAGCUCCCCCGAGCCCCAGGCUGAGCAGUGCCCUCCGCCCCACAAGGGGACUGCAGCAGACUCUAGCACCUGACAGGAUGUGCAAGUAAAUGUUAAAGAGGCUCCGUGUAUAUGUGCAAGCAAAUCGAACGCUUUCAGGGGCGGCCCGCUCUCUGCACAGUCAUCUGACCCGAAGCCCCAGCCACUGGUUAACAUUUAGAAGUUCCCAUGCCCUGCUUGAGUCUUGUGAUCCUAGAAUCUGAUGUUCUAUAGAACAUUAGGGCUAGAAAGUCCUUUGAAUCCACCUCUCUACCUCCCUCCCUUCACAGAUGAUGAAACUGAAGUCCAGAGAAGUCAAAUUAUUUGCAUCAGAGAUGCCAGAGUCGGACAAGGCACACAGCACAGUGUUCAUGCUUUCCCUCGUCUGCCACACGGCUCCCUCCUCACCAGCCACCCACAGCUCAGCAGCCGCUUCUCCACUGCUGGGUGGUGAGGUUUCAGGUGGUUUCAAGUCCUUGUCCUUUUCUACAUUUCCCCAAAUUUCUCCACUGAACAUUUUCCAAAAUUUCUUUGAAAAUAAAUUACAGAAGUAAUCAGAAAACAAAUCAUUGUUAUGUAUGCAUAAAUAUGAGUAAGAGAAGUAUAGUAGAAGCAUACGUCUCUUCCCAAAACACAUGAUUCUUCCAUGUUUUCCUAGAUGUUCUUUCAACUGAGGCUUAUUUGAGGGCUCAGAUAUUGCUGGUUGUCUUCUCCCACUGUAGUUCCUGAAAAAAGAGUGCUGCCCUUGCCUGAAGUGGAGCAAUAAAGCAGACCAACGCUGCCCUGGACAAAGCUCAGGAAGGAAGUGCACAGAAGAGACUGGCUGGUUGAACAGCCACCGGACCUGGGUGUGUGUCCAUGUGUCAGCCCCGUGCUCCAGAGAGAGAAAGCUGGGCUUUCUCAGCAGGGCCCACAGGCAGCCUCCCAAGCAGGCACUACCAAUCGACUAGAGUUAAAAGCUUUUGAGCAAAACACUAUCCAAAUAAAAGCAAUGUUUUAAGAAAGAUUAAUCUGAUCAUGAUACGCAAGACAACUUGGAAGGAACUGAAAUGGGUGUUCCUGAGGACACUAUGAGGAAAUGAACCAAAGAAGGAAAAAAGUCAAGGCAAGAAUGAGAGACGACAAAAAGUGACUCUAAGAAAUGCCCCGCUAAUUUCUAGAAAGCUUCUUAUCUGCAAAUGGAGUCUCCGAGUGAGAAGUACGUCGUAAACGCUUGGAAGCUUUGUUCUGGACAAGAGAAAAACAAGCCGACCUCAUUCUGGGCCUUGAAGCUUGACAGUGUCAUUUAUGGAGUGACAGAGUCACACUGUAAAUGACCAGAGACAUUCCAGAGUUCAUGACUGUUGUGUAACAACAACACUUCAAGGGUGGCUGCAGGCACGAGGCCGACCCGCCCGAGUGUGUGGUGGAUGUGGAGGAGCCACUCCGCCCUGGAACGUGGCUUUGCUCAGAGGCGCCAGGGCCUUCCUCGCCAUCCCCACCAACCCAGCGCCUCGCCAGGGGCGGGACUGGACAGACCGGAGGGACGACUCUAUUUUCAGGGAAUGACAAAUUGAUUGUGCUGAUUGGGUGAGAGUACCUGCUUACCUGUCCUGCUCUGCUUCCAAUUACAACCUGCAGGGAGGAUUUGUUUAGGAGUGACUUGUAUGAGGAAGUGUGGCCGAAGCACGAGAACCCAAACCACCCGGUACCGAAGAGGACGUCAGCCAAGGCUCACGUGGAAAAUUCGAGGCAAGGGGCCUUCCCCUCCCCACACUCCGACAGCCGCCAGGUUGCUGGGGAGGACAUUCCAUUCCACUGACAGAGAGAAGGAGACAAGAUGGCAGCUCUAAAUUACAUGUGCAACAGCCCAGGAGGCUUGUAAACACUUAAGGAGUUGAUUGCUAUUUUCAUUCCUGACUCAUUCCAUGGUGCAAAUAACAACUCCAUAAACUUGCCGAAGCCCAGCCGGAGUUAUUGGGGACAUGCAUUUGUGAACGUGAUCCACAGCGAGGAAUGAAUAUUCAUGGCAGAGUGAAUUUGAACUGCUCCCCAAACUGGUCAGCUCGUGAGUGAACCCAGAUCAGGUCUUAGCAUGGAAGUCAAGUUUAGAGACUUCAGUGAAGAAAAGCAUUCAUGAUUAGUAGCAUGAUCAAGAAGUGUCAGUACAGAAUCUGCCCUAAAAAGGCUCAACCCAGAUAUACAGCCAUGCACCAAAGCCUCGUUUUUCCUUCCAAUCCCCGUUGGGUACAAAUGCUAAGCAGACAGGUAUAAGGCAUUCUCAGGCUACGCCAGAGGUCAUCGUGGCCCUCUUUGGGCCUCCUGGAAACAUGGAGCUUCCUGAAGUGGAUGUUCUUUCCUUUGUUUAAUGAUCUCUUCCCCUAGCACCCCAAGAUGACCUGGGGCACAGUAGACUGCCAGAAAGAUAUGCUUUGCUGCUGUAAGGAUUGGAGAGCCCAGCUGGGAUGGGUUCGCCGUCUAAGCCAGAGAGGCGGUAAAAUGGUCCACAUGCGCCUGAGAUCGAGGGUGAUCACAGUGAAACUGAACACUCAAGUAGAGAAUGGUGUCCGCCCACAGGAACUGCCGUGCACCAACUGCUGCAAUGUAGGUUAAGCGCCGAGUUGCUGCUGGGGUCAGGCUCCGGCUUCCACGAGCUCGUGACUCAGUAAUAACUGGAAGCACGAUUGCUUUUUCACUCACUAUUUUUUAACGGUUUAUUCAUAAAGCAAUUUUUCACUUUUCACUUAUUUUCAACCCCUUUCACAUCUAUCUACUCACAGUUUCUAUCUUGGCUUAACCUUUCCCUCUCUCCUCCUCCUCCCUCUUUCUGGUUAAUUUUUCUUUAUUCUCUUUUUAAAACCUUGAACCGUUAAAACAGCAUCGAGGUUUUGAUUGCUUUACUAACUGAAAUGUGUCCUUUCAACGUCUCCUUUGGUUCUUAGUUAUUAACUCAUUCUCUUCUUUAGCCACCAGUAUUUUUGUUCCUCUUUCCUUUCUGUGGCAACAAACUUAAACCAUCUUACAAGUAUGCCUUUGCUUUAAAAGAAAAACAAAAGUCAAAAAGCCCAAAACCCAUUAAACCAAACAUCCCAGAAUUUGUGGUACUUCAGCAGAAGUUUAAUUUAAGCACAACCGAUUAUUUCCAUUAAAAUAAUCCUGAUUCCUUUCAGGUGAGCAUAUGAAUUCCUGGAGAAAGUUCACAGUUCUCACAAAUUAUCAGGACCUCUGCAAACCCACCCUCUUUUGCCUAAAGAAGCCACAAUACUGGUUUCCAUACAGGCCUGUCCCUCAGUUCCAUUUUCUCUGACAUCUGCUCUCUAAAGUACAAAUAUCUGCCUAUAACAACAACCAGAGUUCCAAGGAAAACAGCCCAGAAGGAAAUAAGAGAAAACAAGAGAAUCUGAGCAUAUUAAGAGAUAUAAGGCUCCCCAAAGAGCAUAUUAAGAGGUGUAAGACUUCCGAAAGAGCUGGAAGACAAACCAGGAAUGAUGCCAUCGUUUUAUGGAUCAGGAAACUGAGGCCCAGGGAGGUUUCAGGACUUUCUCGAGAGCAAACAGUUGACUAUGCACUGAACCAGGACCAGAGCUGAGUUCCAACUCUUGGUUCACGGCUCUUUCCAAGAAAGCCGGUGCCCACGAUUUCAGUUCACAUCUGGGGUUUAUUUUUAACCUUGGGCCCUGAGAGCCAUGCAAGAAGGAGUUGAAAUCAUUAAUGCUUCUCAGUUAGUUGUUCUCACAUGGAAUCACUGUCAGGUUACUUGUCCUAAAAUCAGGAAAGCAAGGAAGGGCUGGUUACAUGGAAGGGGAUGAGGAUGCAUCUUGCUUCCUUUGCCUGUGUGGACGAGGAGCACUGUGCUGGUGGAAGAAGGUGGGGAUGGGCUCUUCUUUUCCCAGGUAAUCACUGCACUGAAAGGCUACCAGCCUGUGAGUGGCUUUGCAGAGGGCCAGGUGCAAUGCUUGGUGAGAGUCUUGCCAUGUCUCAUUUUCCAUCCCCUUUCAGAAUUCCU